AACGAACGCUGGCGGCGCGCCUAAUACAUGCAAGUCGAACGAGAAUGUGUAGCAAUACACAUGUACAGUGGCGAACGGGUGAGGAAUACAUAGGUAACCUACCCUCGGGUGGGGAAUAACUAGCCGAAAGGUUAGCUAAUACCGCGUACGCUCCCCGGACUACGGUUCGGGGAGGAAAGCGAUACCGUGGGUAUCGCGCUCUUGGAUGGGCUUAUGUCCUAUCAGCUUGUUGGUGAGGUAAUGGCUCACCAAGGCUUCGACGGGUAGCUGGUCUGAGAGGACGAUCAGCCACACUGGCACUGCGACACGGGCCAGACUCCUACGGGAGGCAGCAGUAAGGAAUAUUGCGCAAUGGGCGACAGCCUGACGCAGCGACGCCGCGUGGGGGACGAAGGUCUUCGGAUUGUAAACCCCUUUCGGGAGGGAAGAUGGGAUGGGUAACCAUUCGGACGGUACCUCCAGAAGCAGCCACGGCUAACUUCGUGCCAGCAGCCGCGGUAAUACGAAGGUGGCAAGCGUUGUUCGGAUUUACUGGGCGUACAGGGAGCGUAGGCGGUUCAGUAAGCCCUUUGUGAAAUCUCCAGGCUUAACCUGGAACAGCCGGAGGGGACUGCUGAGCUAGAGGAUGGGAGAGGAGCGCGGAAUUCCCGGUGUAGCGGUGAAAUGCGUAGAG
rnacentral:rRNA from 1 species